CAAAACCUAGAGUUGGAUACUGAAAGGACUGAGCCACCCAGUCACUUCUGAAAUAAUAUUUUUUCUGGGUAUAGAAUUUGUGUCAACAGAUAUAUUCUGUCAACUCUUGAAAAUAUUGAACGAUUUCUUUCUGGCUCCUGUUGUUUUUGAA
rnacentral:lncRNA from 1 species